GAUGAACGCUGGCGGCGUGCUUAAGACAUGCAAGUCGAACGAAGAGUUUAGCAAUAAAUUCUUAGUGCGAAUGGGUGCGUAACACGUAGGUGACCUGCCCCGAAGUGUGGAAUAACAGUCCGAAAGGACUGCUAAUACCGCAUGUGGUUCCCGGGUUUUAAGAAAACCGGGUCUAAACGCCCCCGAAAGGGAGGCGCUUCGGGAGGGGCCUGCGGCCCAUCAGGUAGAUGGUGCGGUAACGGCGCACCAUGCCGACGACGGAUAGGGGACCUGAGAGGGUCGACCCCCCACACUGGAACUGAGACA
rnacentral:rRNA from 1 species